CCUGAAUUUUGAAAACAAUUAGUUCUUAUUUAGCCAGUGCAUUCAAAUUGACUUUCUUCAUAAGUAACAAAUAAAUAGCCUGGGAAUGUGCAACCACCUCGCGGUACAUCAACAUUUAGAAGAUUUGUCUCUGCUGAGAUCAGCCAGCGUUGAGCAACCCCAGCAGAUUCCAGCAGCUGCAUUAAAGCACCCACAGCUCCUCUGCCAUCCCCUGGGGAAAUACCAGUGGUGACAAGGACAGGGCCAGCAGGAUGCAGAGCAGCCUGGUGCUGCCUGUCAGUCAAACAAGAAGUGGGGACAUUCAUCUGGUCUUUUUGCAUCCUACAUGCAACGUCUGUAGGAACUUUGCACAUCAGGUUAAAAGCAAGCAGGUUGGUUUUGCUGCUUCCAUGCCACCACAGCACUGCCACUCCUGCAGUAAAGCUGAGGUCCUGGCUGCAGCAGUCCAGAUUUUCAGGCAGCUGAGCAGCCUGAGCUACCUGGCAGUCACUCGAGAUGUCCCGAGCACCAGCGAUGUGCUGAGGCAGCAGGGGAGCUGUGCUUCUGCAAAGCAGACCCUGGGUAGCUGAUGGUGAGCAUCCCAAAUGCCUGGAGCAGUGAGAAGUGCCCUGCACCGAGCCCCUGGGGAUGCACACAGCAGCCCCCCCGCUGCCCGGGCAUGGCCUGAGCUCUAAUAAGAUCAGUCCUGCAGUGUUGUUUCCUGAGCAGCCCGAACAAUGGACCUCUGUCCCAUGGCUGCCACAGGGAGAACAAGGACCAGACUGAAAGAAAAAGGGGAAAAAAAAAAAAAGGAAUAAAGGGGAAAGGAGAACAAACUUCAUCUUGCAGCAGUGCUGCGCUCACCUUCACCUCUUGCAACGCUCGGUGCAGAUGGGCAGCGAGUUAUCGGUGCUGCUGAGGGACGAGGGUUUUCUCCAGCACCAGCCCCGACAGCCCUCGGGAGCCAUGGCUCUGGUGCCCACGCAGCCAUUCCCCGAGCUGGUGACAAAACCACGUCACCAUGGAGGAAUUUCCCUUCACCAGGAUGAGGAGGGAGGGCACAGGCAUCGCUGCCCUCCCUGCGGGGUGGCACAAAGCCCCGCUGCCACCGCGGUCAUCCCGUGCCCACCGCCCAGCACUGCCUCCCCUGCUCAGCAAGGGGGGCCCAGCGGGCCAAAUUUGGCAGAUAGCAGAUCAGAGAAACAGAGAUCAGGGCUUGGCUGGACACCAGACUGCCUCAAACCCUCGAUCCGCUGCCGUGUAAGCCCCUGAAUGCCAGCUGCAGAUUCCUGCGGAAUUUGAGCUCCAUUUUCUUUGGAGAGGUUUUCAGGAGAGAAGCGCUCGGAGGAAAGUCCUCAAAGCGUGGCACAAGUCCUGCCUUCCUCUGCGGCUUUUUUUUUGCCCAAAGCUUCCCCGUGGGCCACGUUACGGGGCGGUGUGGCUCAGGAGCUUUGGUGGAACAGCACGGAUUUACACCCGGCGAUGAGCCGCUCUGAUUUCCUCACAGAAAAUCACCGCCAGGCUGUUACACUUAACCUGCACUAAACUGCGCAUGAAUGAUUUAUUGUGUACUUCUCAUGCAAAUGACAUUAAUAGACUGUCAUACAUAGGAAAAGAUGCUAGAAGAUUACUAAAAGCUGCUGCACUUAGGCUGUUUCAGAAGAAAAUAGCGUCUUAUCUGGUAUUAUCUGAGGACUGUGUCUGCCUCUCUCCUUGAAGGCAGGUACAUGAAAGAACAGUGUGAAGGUUGCGUCGCGUCGCAUUGUGCGCGGAGCUCCUCGAGGCUCUAACAGAAAGCUACAAGAAAUGUUUAAAAGGAAUACGUGUGGAUAACCAGGGCUGCAUUACAGGGAGGGAGAGAGCUGCACCCUCGCCGCUCUCCGCCACCCGGCAGCGCUCCGUGUCGGGAUCAGGCUGCAGAGAAGAAUCAGACCCAAACUCGCCCCGUCUAAUUACCCGAACGUAUUUACAUGUGUAAAACUCUCCUGUAGUCCUUGUAAUGACAAAUGCAUAAUUAUGCGCAGACAAAUCCCCACAGUAAACACAAAUAUUUUGGUUGGUGAUUGUUUAUCUGGGGAGAGCUCAGCAAUUUGUCAGGGCUGCGCCGAGCUCCCCAGCUGCGCCGAGCGAGGUGGCCUCGUGGUGCCGGAGGAGGGCAGCCCCCGGGGUUUUGCACUGAGAAAUGUGCAUUUGGGUCAAAACAAAGGAUUUUGGAAGUUUGUUCCGAUUUCACAGAAAUAUUGUGGCUUCCCUCAAGUUUGAAAAACAUUCCCAACCUUGGGAGUAUUACAGCCCUCUUUUGUAUGCGCUGCCUCCCGCGAGCUGCUGGGAUGGGGCCGGGCUCCCAUCGUCUCUGGGUGCCCUGAACUACCAGGGGACCUUUCUCCACCAAGAAAAGCCAUUUUCCAGGGGCUCCUUCCUCCUGCCUGCCCUCACUUUGUUUCUGUGGGGCAAGGAGCCUUCCCAAACCCACCGGGAGCCACCCGGCGCCUGGGCUGCUCUCUGAGCCCUCCCUGUCAUCUUAGUCCAUGGAGCCACGCCACCCCGGUGAUAAAUUCAUCGCUUAGUCGAUGGCUUUCCUCCUAAAAUCCUCUUCAGGGAACAAUUCUCCGAUGUCGGAUGCAGUGACUAAUUGAUAACUUUCUUUAAGGGGACUGCACGAUAACUUUCCUUAAAGCAGUAUAUUAUCAUCAGUGGGUUUUCAAAGGAGCGUGCUGCUCUCUUAAUUCUCACCUUCAUUAUUUUAAUACCUCUGUAAAAUGGAUUUCUAAUGGAUCUAUAUUGCCAUAAAACUUUAGGGAUGGCGGGUGGGUGUCAAUAAAUUCUUUGCGAUCCGAAUGACUCGGGUAAGGAGCGGUGACAGGCUCCGAGGAGCUGACUUGGGGCUGCACCUUCCAGCACCGCGACCUUCCCAGGUUUGACCCCAUCCCGCUGCCUAAGAACACCCUGCGGAGCUUCACUGAGCAGCACGACUCGUGUCUGUCCCAAGCAAUUCUUCCUCUCCCCGGUUCUCAGCUCAGGGAUAAAUCAUAUCAGCUCUGUCAGGAAGGCAGCAGCUGCCCCGGGUACAGUCCUACCCAAAACCCUGGUGUCUGUGCAGUGCAGUCAUCAAAACAGAGCAUUUUCACCCAAAGAUCCCCAGGUGUGCAGUAAAUGUCUAUUGCGUUGCUAUCACUGCCUUCAGAAGAUCUCUGCCACCAGCAGGACGGAGCACAGCAAAUGCUGUCCCCGGAUUAAUGAAAGAAAGGCAGAAGCGGGUGUUAAGGUCUGCUGAAAACGCUGGGUUUUUUUGGAGAAGUUGGAUUAGGAUGAUGAGCCAGAACACCGGGACAAACACCAUCGGAUCCAUCACCUGGACUCAUCAAAACCACCCAGGGAUCUUGGUUUGGUUCAGCCGGGUUCUCAGGCUAGAACAACUCGGUUUUGCUCUGGACAUUGAUGUGGUGGGGGGGCAGCAAUUGCUGAGAAAUGAGCUAGAGGAGGAAGCGUUUGCCAUUUUGCAAUGCGUUGAGAGCUGCCGGGGUGCUGGGAGAUAUUCCCUUCCCCACCGCUCGUUUCAGGAGUAUUUUUGUCCUUCGGGUUCUUUGUGCUGGUGCAGCUGUUGGAGUUAUCCGUGUCAGAAAAGGUCAGGCUGCUCUGCGCAGCGACUUAACCUCGUCGUGGGCUGCCUCCAGCCCCGCUCUGCUUCGCUCAGGCUGAGACUCGCAGCGCCGAAGCCAGCUGGGUACCGAGCACAUCGUGAAAAUAGCUCCAGUGCUUCCCGUGCCUGCUUGGGGCUCCCUGUGGGGUGAAGACAAAACCUGGCAGCCUUCAGGAGGCUCUGGGAAACCUUCUGGGCUUCUAGGAAAAAGUACCGCAUUCCUCUGGCUUAUUUUUUUCAUCCCUUUGCCUACAAACGAUGGCCACGAAUGCAGAAACCAGAGCGAGAGAAACGCAUUCUUGGAAACACUCCUACCAUCGGGAGCAGGAUGGGAAACACACAUCCCUGCACGGUUUUCAAGCCUACAGACCCAACACAGGGAGCUGUGUUCACGUGUUACAACCACUAAAAUGUUGUUUCCUCUCCUCCGGAGCGAGCUAUAGGGUCAAGUCCUGGGCUCUGCCUCCUCUGGUCGGGGCACAUUAUGUAUUUAAUGUUAAACAGCUAUUGAUAAUAAGCAGAACGUGUUAUCACAGCUGCUGUGUGCCGUGGCAAGAAGGGUAGAGAGUCAUGCGCUUCUUGUUUGCUUUUUGGCCUCGGGACAUUCGUGUUCUUGUUUAUACAAUAGCUCUGCUUGGAAAGCAAGAAUAAAAAAUACCUUGUUUUUCCCCCUUA